AUUGAACGCUGGCGGCAGGCCUAACACAUGCAAGUCGAACGGUAGCACAGAGAGCUUGCUCUCGGGUGACGAGUGGCGGACGGGUGAGUAACGUCUGGGAAACUGCCCGAUGGAGGGGGAUAACUACUGGAAACGGUAGCUAAUACCGCAUAACGCCGCAAGACCAAAGUGGGGGACCUUCGGGCCUCACACCAUCGGAUGUGCCCAGAUGGGAUUAGCUAGUAGGUGGGGUAAUGGCUCACCUAGGCGACGAUCCCUAGCUGGUCUGAGAGGAUGACCAGCCACACUGGAACUGAGACACGGUCCAGACUCCUACGGGAGGCAGCAGUGGGGAAUAUUGCACAAUGGGCGCAAGCCUGAUGCAGCCAGGCCGCGUGUAUGAAGAAGGCCUUCGGGUUGUAAAGUACUUUCAGCGGGGAGGAAGGCGGUGAAGUUAAUAACUUCACCGAUUGACGUUACCCGCAGAAGAAGCACCGGCUAACUCCGUGCCAGCCGCCGCAGUAA
rnacentral:rRNA from 1 species